GUCAAAUGAAGGGAUGCCAUCUAAAUGAUAAAAGAGGAUCUAGAUUCUGUAGCUUACACCUCUCCAGCAUUUCUUAGCUCUAAUCAUUGCUAUCACCAGCCUCCGAGAUACAUCAGUCAGAAAGCCAUUGCCAGGAAACUGCAGGCUCAGCUUAUCCUCCAGGUCCCAGGAUGCAGGUGAGAGUCUCAGGCAGCAGACUGUUCUGGAUCCUACUGAGCUCAGCCUGGGUUAUUUCACUCCAGAGCCCUCAUGGCCCAGGAGAAAAGCCAACCUACAUAGGCCGAUGGAGACGCAUGCCAGGUACUUGAUUAUUCUGUGUCUCUCUGAGCUGUGUUAUUUCUCACACGGUCACCAGCUAGACUAAACACUUAUUCAAGAUACC
rnacentral:lncRNA from 1 species